rnacentral:rRNA from 1 species
GAUGAACGCUAGCUACAGGCUUAACACAUGCAAGUCGCGGGGUAACAUCUGGGAGAGCUUGCUCUUCCAGGAUGACGACCGGCGCACGGGUGAGUAACGCGUAUCCAACCUGGCCCAUACCACGGGAUAGCCCGUCGAAAGGCGGAUUAAUACCGUAUGCUGUCAUUAAGAGGCAUUUUUUGAUGACGAAAGGACUGGCGGUAUGGGAUGGGGAUGCGUCUGAUUAGCUUGUUGGCGGGGUAACGGCCCACCAAGGCAACGAUCAGUAGGGGUUCUGAGAGGAAGGUCCCCCCACAUUGGAACUGAGACACGGUCCAAACUCCUACGGGAGGCAGCAGUGAGGAAUAUUGGUCAAUGGACGAGAGUCUGAACCAGCCAAGUAGCGUGCAGGAUGACGGCCCUAUGGGUUGUAAACUGCUUUUAUAAGGGAAUAAAGUGAGCCUCGUGUAGGCUUUUUGCAUGUACCUUAUGAAUAAGGACCGGCUAAUUCCGUGCCAG